rnacentral:rRNA from 1 species
GACAGAUGGGAGCUUGCUCCCUGAUGUAGCGGCGGACGGGUGAGUAACACGUGGGUAACCUGCCUGUAAGACUGGGAUAACUCCGGGAAACCGGGGCUAAUACCGGAUGCUUGAUUGAACCGCAUGGUUCAAUUAUAAAAGGUGGCUUUUACCUACCACUUACAGAUGGACCCGCGGCGCAUUAUCUAGUUGGUGAGGGAACGGCUCAGCAAGGAAACGAUGCGUAGCCGACCUGAUAGGGUGAUCGGCCACACUGGGACUGAGACACGGACCACACUCCUACGGGAGGCAGCAGAAUGGAAUCUUCCGCAAUGGACGAAAGUCUGACGGAGCAACGCCGCGUGAGUGAUGAAGGUUUUCGGAUCGUAAAACUCUGUUGUUAGGGAAGAACAAGUACCGUUCGAAUAGGGCGGUACCUUGACGGUACCUAACCAAAAAGCCACGGCUAACUACGUGCCAGCAGCCGCGGUAAUACGUAGGUGGCAAGCGUUGUCCGGAAUUAUUGGGCGUAAAGCGCGCGCAGGCGGUUUCUUAAUUCUGAUGUGAAAGCCCCCGGCUCAACCGGGGAGGGUCAUUGGAAACUGGGGAACUUGAGUGCAGAAAAGGAAAGUGGAAUUCCACGUGUAACGGUGAAAUGCAUAGAGAUGUGGAGGAACACCAAUGGCGAAUGCGACUCUCUGGUCUGUAACUGACGCUGAAGCGCGAGAGCGUGGGGAGCGAACAGGAUUACAUACCCUGGUAGUC